rnacentral:rRNA from 1 species
GGGCGUAAAGAGCUCGUAGGCGGUUUGUCGCGUCUGCUGUGAAAUCCCGAGGCUCAACCUCGGGCCUGCAGUGGGUACGGGCAGACUAGAGUGCGGUAGGGGAGAUUGGAAUUCCUGGUGUAGCGGUGGAAUGCGCAGAUAUCAGGAGGAACACCGAUGGCGAAGGCAGAUCUCUGGGCCGUAACUGACGCUGAGGAGCGAAAGGGUGGGGAGCAAACAGGCUUAGAUACCCUGGGUAGUCCACCCCGUAAACGUUGGGAACUAGUUGUGGGGUCCAUUCCACGGAUUCCGUGACGCAGCUAACGCAUUAAGUUCCCCGCCUGGGGAGUACGGCCGCAAGGCUAAAACUCAAAGGAAUUGACGGGGACCCGCACAAGCGGCGGAGCAUGCCGGAUUAAUUCGAUGCAACGCGAAGAAACUUACCAAGGCUUGACAUAUACGAGAACGGGCCAGAAAUGGUCAACUCUUUGGGACACUCGUAAACAGGUGGUGCAUGGUUGUCGUCAGCUCGUGUCGUGAGAUGUUGGGUUAAGUCCCGCAACGAGCGCAACCCUCGUUCUAUGUUGCCAGCACGUAAUGGUGGGAACUCAUGGGAUACUGCCGGGGUCAACUCGGAGGAAGGUGGGGAUGACGUCAAAUCAUCAUGCCCCUUAUGUCUUGGGCUUCACGCAUGCUACAAUGGCCGGUACAAAGGGCUGCAAUACCGUGAGGUGGAGCGAAUCCCAAAAAGCCGGUCCCAGUUCGGAUUGAGGUCUGCAACUCGACCUCAUGAAGUCGGAGUCGCUAGUAAUCGC